rnacentral:rRNA from 1 species
UACAGAGGUCCCAAGCGUUGUUCGGAUUCAUUGGGCGUAAAGGGUGCGUAGGCGGCGCGGUAAGUCGGGUGUGAAAUCUCGGGGCUUAACUCCGAAACUGCAUUCGAUACUGCCGUGCUUGAGGACUGGAGAGGAGACUGGAAUUUACGGUGUAGCGGUGAAAUGCGUAGAUAUCGUAAGGAAGACCAGUGGCGAAGGCGAGUCCCUGGACAACACCUGACACUGAGGCACGAAAGCUAGGGGAGCAAACAGG